UAAUUAAAGGUGUCGAACCCCCCCAGGGGUCCCGGCGGAAGCGGGAGCGCCGGAAGGAGCCGCGGCGAGGGCGGGGGGCGGAGCCUGAGCCCGAGGAGGAGGAGCCGAGCCGGCGGCUCCAGGCCCUGGCGGCCGCGGCCGAGGAGGAGGAGGAGGAGGAGGAGGAAGGUCCGGGAUGGGAAUUUGGGGGGUCCUGGGGGGGUUUAACCCCUCGGUGACCCCCAAAAUCUGACCCACAGCUCCAGCGGCGCGGAAAGGAGGGAGGAGGAGGAAGGGUGGGAACGUUUUCGCUGCUCUGAGCCAGGAGCAGAGCGAGGAAGAGGAGGAGGAAGAGGAAGAAAAGGAAAAAAAAACGUCCAAGGGGAAAAUUGCCAAGGAGGAAGAGGAGGCCGAGAGGAGGAAGAGGAAGAGCAGCAGGAACGACAAAUCCAAAGGGAGGCGAAAGGUGGGGAUUUUUUUAUGGGAAUUUUUUAUGGGAAUUUUUUUGGGAAUUUUUUAUGGGAAUUUUUUAUGGGAAUUUUUUAUGGGAAUUUUUUUGGGGAAUUUUUUUGGGGGGAAUUUUUUUGGGAAUUUUUUGGGGGAAUUUUUUUUUGGGAAUUUUUUUGGGAAUUUUUUUGGGAAAUUUUUUGGGAAUUUUUUUGGGAAUUUUUUUGGGGAAUUUUUUAUGGGAAUUUUUGGGAUUUUUUUUGGGAAUUU
rnacentral:lncRNA from 1 species